AUGCUAGUGAAACUGUGGAUUGUGUAGUUUUCCUGUGACAAUGGAUUUUGCCCUUGGACUUGUGCACACUUUCGUAUCAUCAGUGUAUUUAUAAGGACAUUUAUUUCCAGUUUCGGACACCACAGGAUGGCGGCCGAAACUAUAUCCAUCCCUGCUCCUUUCCUGAACCCCAGAGAAGCGUUCAAGAAGAAAUUCCUGUUCCACGAACCACAGAUCCUUUCCUGAAAUACUUUCAGCAUGCUAUACAAUAAAAUAUAUAUCAUAUAGAAACAUUAUUAGCCCGCGUUAUGAAUUCUUAGAGCGAAUGUUGCGGUUCGCGAUAGAACGGCGUUUAAGCUGUAAAUAUAUGUGUUAUGGCAUGGCAGUGCAGUUAGCAAGGAUUGCAGAUACUGCAAUGGCAUGCGGCGUGCGUGCCACACCCCAUUCAUUAGGCGGCGAGUGCUUCCGCGCAUUUAUCAAUCUCCCGCACCAGUGGCAGUAGCGGUAACGCCUCGCCGCCACUACGCCGGACGCCGCCGACGCUGCUUCUCUUGGUUUCGAGCGAACAAAGCCCUCACAGGACAUUUGUUGCGGCAUUAUUCAUAAAAUUAUAUUAUUGAUUGUUACAAUUUUCGAAGUAUACAUACUUUUGUAAUAGUUACUAUUU